rnacentral:lncRNA from 1 species
CGGGCUGGUUUACACGCCUGACUCUGGGCGAGGUUUGGCGGUGUCGCCUUGACGUCAGGCGUUCAGCCUCGCUCUCGCUUCCGCCCGCGGGCGGGGCGCAAGGGGAGUUGGAAGUUGAACAGAAUAAGAAGGCUGCUUACUGGAUGCAAAAGAGGAAAAACUAUGGCUUAAAUUUCCACCAGAAGUUGAGAACAAUGCUGACAAUAUAAUACUGUGGAUGAAUAAUCACUUGUUGGCUGAACAGAAAAGGACUUUUAAAAAAAUAUAAUAGCAACAGAAGAAAACUCAAAGGAAAUUAUUGAAAGAUUUGAGUAUAUAAAAAUAAAAAAAUGCCUCAACAUGACCUUCCUCUUCCACAAACAUCUAAGCUCCUAAAUAAACUUAAAUGACAAAUCAAUAGGGGAAAAUAUUUUUCAUAAGUUUGACAGAUUUAAUAACUUUCAAAUAUAAAGAACCU